UCCAGCUUCUUCCCAGAGCUUUGUGGAGUCGCCGUUAUGCGCGCGGGAAGAAAAUGAAUUCCCGGACUUUGGCAUCUUCCACCCGAGGAGUUCCAAUUCGACCAGGUUCCCCCUCACCUGCGCGCCCUGCACUGGAGACCCUGGGCAAAUGAGGAAGAGGUGGCUCCAGGUGGCGGAUGGAGUUGGGGAUGGGGGUGCGUCCCCGCCCAGAGGCGGGAGCCGGCCCGGAAGGCGGGGCCGAGAGCUGCGGAGGGCUCCCGUGCCAAGUUCAGAGCCGCUGGCUCGCUGCUGGAGAACAGUCUAGCCUUCUAGGUCGACUUUCCGUUUGGCAUCCGUCCUUGCUUCGCUCCGUUUGCGGUGUGGCUCCCUGGUCUCCCACAGGGCCUGUGCUGGGGCCGCCCGUGUGUUUAGGCCAAGGGAUGCCUGAACAUCAAGUUCAUCUCCUUUUUUAGGAAAAUCAACCCUUGUGUGUCUAAGUAUGUAUCCAAGGCAACUUUUAAAAAUUAAUGUAGAUGUGGAAUUCAAAGUCAAAUUUAUUUUUUCCAGAAAAUUUUGAGGGAUUGAACAUUUUGUGUGGUACAUCAGUCACCCAUAU